GGAAGCACGUGCAAAACGGUCGACGGUUGGAGGCCAGGUUCAGAGUUAGUUGAAGGAUACUCCAGAAGCUUCAGAGUUUGUUUUCAGUUCUUUCCCUUUUUCCCCUUUUCUUUUCUUUUUCGUUCUUUGAACUGUCCCUAUAAAAGGGGAGUCUUUGUAAUAUUGAACUCAUGAGUACUGGGUGACAGGCAGUGUAUUUAGAUUAGGUUUUUG
rnacentral:lncRNA from 1 species